rnacentral:piRNA from 1 species
UCGUAUAAUUGCAUUUAUUAA